GACGAACGCUGGCGGCGUGCUUAACACAUGCAAGUCGAACGGAAAGGCCCUGCUUUUGUGGGGUGCUCGAGUGGCGAACGGGUGAGUAACACGUGAGUAACCUGCCCUUGACUUUGGGAUAACUUCAGGAAACUGGGGCUAAUACCGGAUAGGAGCUCCUGCUGCAUGGUGGGGGUUGGAAAGUUUCGGCGGUUGGGGAUGGACUCGCGGCUUAUCAGCUUGUUGGUGGGGUAGUGGCUUACCAAGGCUUUGACGGGUAGCCGGCCUGAGAGGGUGACCGGCCACAUUGGGACUGAGAUACGGCCCAGACUCCUACGGGAGGCAGCAGUGGGGAAUAUUGCACAGUGGGCGGAAGCCUGAUGCAGCAACGCCGCGUGCGGGAUGACGGCCUUCGGGUUGUAAACCGCUUUCGCCUGUGACGAAGCGUGAGUGACGGUAAUGGGUAAAGAAGCACCGGCUAACUACGUA
rnacentral:rRNA from 1 species